rnacentral:rRNA from 1 species
GGUUAAGCGACUAAGCGUACACGGUGGAUGCCCUGGCAGUCAGAGGCGAUGAAGGACGUGCUAAUCUGCGAAAAGCGCCGGCGAGGUGAUAUGAACCCUUGACCCGGCGAUGUCCGAAUGGGGAAACCCAGUGUGAUUCGUCACACUAUCGUUAACUGAAUACAUAGGUUAACGAGGCGAACCGGGGGAACUGAAACAUCUAAGUACCCCGAGGAAAAGAAAUCAACCGAGAUUCCCCCAGUAGCGGCGAGCGAACGGGGAGCAGCCCAGAGUCUGAAUCAGCUUGUGUGUUAGUGGAAGCGUCUGGAAAGUCGCACGGUACAGGGUGAUAGUCCCGUACACGAAAAUGCACAGGCUGUGAACUCGAAGAGUAGGGCGGGACACGUGGUAUCCUGUCUGAAUAUGGGGGGACCAUCCUCCAAGGCUAAAUACUCCUGACUGACCGAUAGUGAACCAGUACCGUGAGGGAAAGGCGAAAAGAACCCCGGCGAGGGGAGUGAAAAAGAACCUGAAACCGUGUACGUACAAGCAGUGGGAGCACCUUCGGGUGUGACUGCGUACCUUUUGUAUAAUGGGUCAGCGACUUAUAUUCUGUAGCAAGGUUAACCGUAUAGGGGAGCCGAAGGGAAACCGAGUCUUAACUGGGCGUUAAGUUGCAGGGUAUAGACCCGAAACCCGGUGAUCUAGCCAUGGGCAGGUUGAAGGUUGGGUAACACUAACUGGAGGACCGAACCGACUAAUGUUGAAAAAUUAGCGGAUGACCUGUGGCUGGGGGUGAAAGGCCAAUCAAACCGGGAGAUAGCUGGUUCUCCCCGAAAGCUAUUUAGGUAGCGCCUCGUGAACUCAUCUUCGGGGGUAGAGCACUGUUUCGGCUAGGGGGCCAUCCCGGCUUACCAACCCGAUGCAAACUACGAAUACCGAAGAAUGUUAUCACGGGAGACACACGGCGGGUGCUAACGUCCGUCGUGAAGAGGGAAACAACCCAGACCGCCAGCUAAGGUCCCAAAGUCAUGGUUAAGUGGGAAACGAUGUGGGAAGGCCCAGACAGCCAGGAUGUUGGCUUAGAAGCAGCCAUCAUUUAAAGAAAGCGUAAUAGCUCACUGGUCGAGUCGGCCUGCGCGGAAGAUGUAACGGGGCUAAACCAUGCACCGAAGCUGCGGCAGCGACGCUUAUGCGUUGUUGGGUAGGGGAGCGUUCUGUAAGCCGUUGAAGGUGGCCUGUGAGGGCUGCUGGAGGUAUCAGAAGUGCGAAUGCUGACAUAAGUAACGAUAAAGCGGGUGAAAAGCCCGCUCGCCGGAAGACCAAGGGUUCCUGUCCAACGUUAAUCGGGGCAGGGUGAGUCGACCCCUAAGGCGAGGCCGAAAGGCGUAGUCGAUGGGAAACAGGUUAAUAUUCCUGUACUUGGUGUUACUGCGAAGGGGGGACGGAGAAGGCUAUGUUAGCCGGGCGACGGUUGUCCCGGUUUAAGCAUGUAGGCGGAGGUUCCAGGUAAAUCCGGUACCUUUUAACGCUGAGGUGUGAUGACGAGGCACUACGGUGCUGAAGUAACAAAUGCCCUGCUUCCAGGAAAAGCCUCUAAGCAUCAGGUAACACGAAAUCGUACCCCAAACCGACACAGGUGGUCAGGUAGAGAAUACCAAGGCGCUUGAGAGAACUCGGGUGAAGGAACUAGGCAAAAUGGUGCCGUAACUUCGGGAGAAGGCACGCUGAUAUGUAGGUGAAGCCCCUGCGGGUGGAGCUGAAAUCAGUCGAAGAUACCAGCUGGCUGCAACUGUUUAUUAAAAACACAGCACUGUGCAAACACGAAAGUGGACGUAUACGGUGUGACGCCUGCCCGGUGCCGGAAGGUUAAUUGAUGGGGUUAGCGGUAACGCGAAGCUCUUGAUCGAAGCCCCGGUAAACGGCGGCCGUAACUAUAACGGUCCUAAGGUAGCGAAAUUCCUUGUCGGGUAAGUUCCGACCUGCACGAAUGGCGUAAUGAUGGCCAGGCUGUCUCCACCCGAGACUCAGUGAAAUUGAACUCGCUGUGAAGAUGCAGUGUACCCGCGGCAAGACGGAAAGACCCCGUGAACCUUUACUAUAGCUUGACACUGAACACUGGUCCUUGAUGUGUAGGAUAGGUGGGAGGCUUUGAAGCGUGGACGCCAGUCUGCGUGGAGCCAUCCUUGAAAUACCACCCUUUAAUGGCUGGUGUUCUAACGUAGACCCGUAAUCCGGGUUGCGGACAGUGUCUGGUGGGUAGUUUGACUGGGGCGGUCUCCUCCCAAAGAGUAACGGAGGAGCACGAAGGUUAGCUAAUCCUGGUCGGACAUCAGGAGGUUAGUGCAAUGGCAUAAGCUAGCUUGACUGCGAGAGUGACGGCUCGAGCAGGUGCGAAAGCAGGUCAUAGUGAUCCGGUGGUUCUGAAUGGAAGGGCCAUCGCUCAACGGAUAAAAGGUACUCCGGGGAUAACAGGCUGAUACCGCCCAAGAGUUCAUAUCGACGGCGGUGUUUGGCACCUCGAUGUCGGCUCAUCACAUCCUGGGGCUGAAGUAGGUCCCAAGGGUAUGGCUGUUCGCCAUUUAAAGUGGUACGCGAGCUGGGUUUAGAACGUCGUGAGACAGUUCGGUCCCUAUCUGCCGUGGGCGCUGGAGAAUUGAGGGGGGCUGCUCCUAGUACGAGAGGACCGGAGUGGACGCAUCACUGGUGUUCGGGUUGUCAUGCCAAUGGCACUGCCCGGUAGCUAAAUGCGGAAGAGAUAAGUGCUGAAAGCAUCUAAGCACGAAACUUGCCCCGAGAUGAGUUCUCCCUGAGACUUAAAGUCUCCUGAAGGAACGUUGAAGACGACGACGUUGAUAGGUCGGGUGUGUAAGCGCAGCGAUGCGUUGAGCUAACCGAUACUAAUGAACCGUGAGGCUUAACCUU